ACUCCUACGGGAGGCAGCAGUGGGGAAUAUUGCACAAUGGGCGCAAGCCUGAUGCAGCCAUGCCGCGUGUGUGAAGAAGGCCUUCGGGUUGUAAAGCACUUUCAGUCGUGAGGAAGGUAGUGUAGUUAAUAGCUGCAUUAUUUGUACGUUAGCGACAGAAGAAGCACCGGCUAACUCCGUGCCAGCAGCCGCGGUAAUACGGAGGGUGCGAGCGUUAAUCGGAAUUACGUGGCGUAAAGCGCAUGCAGGUGGUUUGUUAAGUCAGAUGUGAAAGCCCGGGGCUCAACCUCGGAAUAGCAUUUGAAACUGGCAGACUAGAGUACUGUAGAGGGGGUUAGAAUUUCGAGGUGUAGCGGUGAAAUGCGUAGAGAUCUGAA
rnacentral:rRNA from 1 species